CAGAUUUCUCUUCUUGAGAAGAAGGCUCAGGACAACUGGAUCAAGGGUCGGAUUUUGGAGAGAGAGAUGGCAGAGCAGAGCAAGGAAGCCGCCUACUUGAGACACAAAUUGGCAAUAAUUGAAAAACAAGGGCUGCAACAGAAAUACGGGAUGCCGAAUCCGGUGCUGGGAAGACCUGAGACACAGAAACCCCCAGGGAGAGAUACAGGACCUGGCAUGGCGCCCAUGAGAAACAACAAUUCUUUCCCUACUAUGGAUGUACAAAAAGGCCAGGU